rnacentral:rRNA from 1 species
AAACAUGUCUUCUUGAUAAUAUUUUGAAGUCUGACCUGCUCACUGAAUAAUUUUAAAGAGCCGCGGUAUUUUGACCGUGCAAAGGUAGCAUAAUCAUUAGUUUCUUAAUUAGAGGCUUGAAUGAAUGGUUUGACGAGAAAUUAACUGUCUCUUAAUAAAUUUUAGAAUUUAACCUUUAAGUUAAAAGGCUUAAAUAUUUCUUUAGGACGAGAAGACCCUAUAGAGCUUGAUAUUUAUGAAUUUUGUAUGUUUUUAGUUUAUCUUUCUAUAUAGAUUUUUUAAUAUUUGGUUGGGGUGACAUGAAGAAUAAAUAAACUCUUCAUUAUUACAUCAUUGAUUUAUGUUUAUUUGAUCCAUAAUUUAUGAUCAAAAGAUUAAGUUACCUUAGGGAUAACAGCGUAAUCAUUUUUGAGAGUUCAUAUCGACAAAGUGGGUUGCGACCUCGAUGUUGGAUUAAGAUUAAUUUUAGGUGUAGUAGCUUAAUAAUUAGGUCUGUUCGACCUUUAAAUUCUUACGUGAUCUGAGUUC